UACGAAGGGGGCUAGCGUUGCUCGGAAUCACUGGGCGUAAAGGGUGCGUAGGCGGGGCUUUAAGUCACGGGUGAAAUCCUGGAGCUCAACUCCAGAACUGCCUUUGAUACUGAAGAGCUUGAGUUCGGGAGAGGUGAGUGGAACUGCGAGUGUAGAGGUGAAAUUCGUAGAUAUUCGCAAGAACACCAGUGGCGAAGGCGGCUCACUGGCCCGAUACUGACGCUGAGGCACGAAAGCGUGGGGAGCAAACAGG
rnacentral:rRNA from 1 species